rnacentral:rRNA from 1 species
AGAGUUUGAUCCUGGCUCAGGAUGAACGCUUGCAGUAUACUUGACACAUGCUAGUCAAAUGUUUUUAAACAUGGCGAACGGGUGAGUAAUGUAUAAGAAUCUACCUUAAAGUUUGGAAUAAUCAUAUUUUUUUAAGAAUGCUCUGCAGUGAUAACUCCAAGAAAAGCUCAAUGCUGCUUUAAGAUGAGCUUAUAUAGGAUUAAGUUGUUGGUGAGGUAAUGGCUCACCAAGCUGAUGAUCCUUAGCUGGUCUGAGAGGAUGAUCAGCCACACUGGGACUGAGAUAAGGCCCAGGCUUUUAGCCAGCAGUGAGGAAUCUUGGACAAUGCGCGGAAGCGUGAUCCAGUAAUACUGCGUGAAUGAGGAAAGCAAAAAAGGUUUGUUAGUCAUUAGAUUUUCAAAUCGGUUGUAAAAUUCUUUCACUGAUGAAGAUUAUGACUUUAUUCGUGCCAGCAGCCGCGGUAAUACGAAGGGGGCGAGCGUUAUCCGGAAUGAUUGGGCGUAAAGGGUUCGUAGGCGGUAUUUGUUGUUAUAUGUAAAAUUCUAGAUUUAUUAUUUAGGUAUGCGUAUAAUACUCUUUUACUUGAGUAUAGCAGAGGAUAACAGAAUUUCACAUAUAGGGGUAAAAUCCAAUCAUUUGUGAAGGAAUGCCAGCGGCGAAAGCGGUUAUCUGGGCUAUUUACUGACGCUGAGGAACGAAAGCAUAGGGAGCAAACAGGAUUAGAUACCCUGGUAGUCUAUGCUGUCAAAGAUGAGUGCUAAUAUUGGGAUAAUUUCUGAUAUAAAGUUAACACGUUAAGCACUCCGCCUGGGAAGUACGGUCGCAAG